rnacentral:rRNA from 1 species
UAGUAAUCGCGAAUCAGAAUGUCGCGGUGAAUACGUUCCCGGGUCUUGUACACACCGCCCGUCACACCAUGGGAGUCGGAUAUGCCCGAAGUCAGUGACCCAACCAUAUGGAGGGAGCUGCCGAAGGUGGAGCCGAUAACUGGGGUGAAGUCGUAACAAGGUAUC